rnacentral:rRNA from 1 species
AGUGAACGCUGGCGGUAGGCCUAACACAUGCAAGUCGAACGGCAGCACAGUAAGAGCUUGCUCUUACGGGUGGCGAGUGGCGGACGGGUGAGGAAUACAUCGGAAUCUACUUUUUCGUGGGGGAUAACGUAGGGAAACUUACGCUAAUACCGCAUACGACCUACGGGUGAAAGCAGGGGAUCUUCGGACCUUGCGCGAUUGAAUGAGCCGAUGUCGGAGUAGCUAGUUGGCGGGGUAAAGGCCCACCAAGGCGACGAUCCGUAGCUGGUCUGAGAGGAUGAUCAGCCACACUGGAACUGAGACACGGUCCAGACUCCUACGGGAGGCAGCAGUGGGGAAUAUUGGACAAGGGGCGCAAGCCUGAUCCAGCAAUACCGCGUGAGUGAAGAAGGCCUUCGGGUUGUAAAGCCCUUUUGUUGGGAAAGAAAAGCAGCAGGUUAAUACCCCGCUGUUCUGACGGUACCCAAAGAAUAAGCACCGGCUAACUUCGUG